rnacentral:lncRNA from 1 species
UUGUUGUAGAGCUGGGAAGAAGUUGAAUACGGUUCGGAAGAGAGAUACGGAGAACAGAGGAUCUUUGGAUGCAGAAGAAUGUGUUAUCCGGAGGGAGUUUGAACUGAUGUGGAAGCCGAUCUCGGACGGGAGGAAUCCGGAAGAGAUCAAAUCUGGAAGAUGGUUUGAUGCCACUCGGAAGAAGUUGGAACUCUUAGAUUUGCUGGGAGUUUUGCUCUUCACGACCGACAACAGGGAAAUCGUUUUGGAUGAGGAUGAACGCGGAAGAAACGUGUGAAUGAGAGGAUGAUGCUGGACGUUUGGAGGAAAAUCUGGGAGUUCGGUUGGGAGGAACUGGGAUCAAGCCGUGGAAGGAAACGAAUCCAUGAGCUGGGAGAUAAGAUCGGAUCCUGAGUUUGGUAGAUAUGAAGUUAGCUUGGAAUGACUUGGGAGAUAAAAUGCGAGCGUGGACUGAGAGGAUCUGGAUGCACACGGGAGGUUGGUUUCAGUUCGUGGGAUACGGGAGCUAUCCUGGCUGGCAGCAGGAUAUGGAUGAAACGAAUCCGGAACAGGGGAUACGGAAGAAACUGAGGGAGACUACGGACGGCUGGGAGUUUGGUGAUGGAGCUAAUCCGCGAGGGAAAUCUGGGAAGAUGAUCCACGGGAUUCGGCAGCUCGGGCGUUGGAUAAAAAUCAGGGAGUGAAGUUCGGAUGGUUAUGAUGAUGAACUCCUUGAUUUAUUUUGCUGAGGGAAGAUCUCGGAAGCCCGUGGAUUAUGCGGAGGAUUUGGUUCUGUUUCUUAACAGAGCCCUGUUUGCUGGAACUAGGUGCUUGGGACUCAUCCGGAAGGGAAGAAGCUGGGAAUCCGGUUGGAGGUUGGGAUGCACGGGCUUCGGAUGAGAGAAAU